rnacentral:precursor_RNA from 1 species
CUCUCCCACAAAGUUCUCUAUGAAAAUGAGAAUCUUGAUGAUGCUGCAUCGGCAAUCAACGACUAUUCUUUCCCUCUCUCUCUCUCCCUCUGUAUAGAUUAUUUGGAUUCCAUCCAGAUCUUCUUCAGGUUUUUGGCAGUCUUUAUCAAGACAUUAAUAGAUCCACAAGCUUCUAUUUCAAUAAGUGAACAAGAGUCACAACAUCAAGAUCAGUAAGCUUCCACUAUGAAUCGAAUGGUUUUGAGCAAUGCCUUGGAUGACCUAGACUUCGUCCAUAAGUGGAAGCCAAAUCAUUCUAUCAGUACCAAUAUAGCAAGUUGGCAGCUAUUUUCACAUCAUGAUGAUAUCUUUGAUAUGUCCGUCAAUCACGUAUAUUUUUGGAUAUAUUUUUCAGUAUUGCCAAAUGAAAUUGUUGUUUUACGAAAAUGAGUACCUCAAUUAAUAUAAUAUGUCUUCACUCCAACUUGCAGCUAUAUUGCUAAUCACAUAAGUAGUACCACUA